GGAAUAUAGCUCAGUUGGUAGAGUGCUUGCCUUGCGUGCUUAAGGCCCUGGGUUCAAUCCCCAGCACCA
rnacentral:tRNA from 1 species